UACAGAGGGUGCAAGCGUUAAUCGGAAUUAUUGGGCGUAAAGGGCGCGUAGGCGGCUUGGCAAGUGGAAGGUGAAAUCCCUCGGCUUAACCGAGGAACUGCCCUCCAAACUGCUUCGCUUGAGACCGGGAGAGGUGAGUGGAAUUCCCAGUGUAGCGGUGAAAUGCGUAGAUAUUGGGAGGAACACCAGUGGCGAAGGCGGCUCACUGGACCGGUACUGACGCUGAUGCGCGAAAGCGUGGGGAGCAAACAGG
rnacentral:rRNA from 1 species